rnacentral:lncRNA from 1 species
GACUCAGAUUCUCCCCAGACGCCAAGGUUGCGGGUCAUGGAGUCCCGAACCCUCCUCCUGCUGUUCUCGGGAGCCGUGGCCCUGAUCCAGACCUGGGCAAGAGAAGGUGUUUUGGAUGCAUUCUAGAACACAGGUAAUCUAAGGAGAGUUGAUCAAGGCCGUGGAAGAGUCCUCCAGCCACUAUUGGCCAUCAAAGGAGUCCUCUGUGUCCCAGGAAUGGUCCUGCUUUGGUGUCCCUGGUGUGACCCAUCACCCGCUGGGAACAGCCUGAGAGAAGUAGGGCCUCUGCACCAAUGCUGCUGAGGAUGUCAGAGCACAGGAACGAGGCCUUGGGAAAUUACCUGGAAAUGCGACUGAAAUCUUCCUUCCUGAGGGGUCUGGGCUCUUGGAAAUCAAACCCUCUCAGGUUGGGUGGCUGGACGAUUCUCCUCACACUUACAAUGGGACAAGGGGAACCAGGAGGCCCCCAAGGGGAUCCCUGGGUUCCACACGAACUCCUCCUACCCUCAUUGUGUGACAGCAGCCAUGCCUCCUCCUGGGGAUCAGGAUCUAUUACCUGUGCCUGGAGAGGAGGGGACUCCUCUUCUCACCCGCUGGUCUCUGGACACAUACUGUCCAAUUCCCCUGUGGCAGCUGUAAUGUGUAGUUCAAUGGGCACUCAUUUGUCCCCUUUUAAGGGUACCCUCCUUUAGAAUCCAGGACCUUCUACCCUGCAGAGUGUGGUUUUGGGAGAGAAGUGCAAAAUCCCACGACAGGUGAGUUGAAGGAAUGGGAUAUGGAGCCACAUCCACUUCCACCCCUUGGUAUCUGGACCCACGUGUUCUUCCUACUGAGAUUACAGAACUGUAGAGAUGUCUUUGAUUUUUAAAAUGCACCAUGUCCUGAAAGAUGGCACCCUCCCACCCGCAGAGUGCUUCCUGCAAGCUGGCGUUGAGCUGUGCCUAUAGAAGCUCUUUUCAACAUUCUUUAUGGCCAGCAGCCCUUGGUUGGUGCAGAUGGUGAUAGGACCAGUGGGUCCCACAGCAUGGCCACACUGCACCUCCUUCGCUGUCAAGUGGGUCCCCCACGAAGAUACUGCACGGAGAGCAGUGCCAAGCCUGUGGAUCAGGAAUAUCAACAGCCCCCAGAGAGUGGUGCUGGCUGAGGGUCUGAGAGCAGGACAGGAAAACCCACCUAUGGAAUAGGUGCCUAUCCCUGUGAAGAUGAACCUCUGGCCCUUCCAGGAUGGAAGGAGUGCAAUGUAGUCAACUCCUCACUUAGGGUCUGGUUGGUCACCUAAAGAAAUAGAGCCCUACCAGGGAAGAUCAUUGGGUUCAAAUGCUGAUGAGUAGGACAUUUAGAGGUGGCAGUGUCUGGAUCUACCUUGGUAGGAGGGAGUCAGUACUGUUGGACCCAUAGGUAGCCUCAUCCCUGCCACUGUGUUUGCUCCAUUUAUGUACCCAUCCUACCCGGCCUGGGCUGACCCAUGGGGAAGGCUGGCUAAUUUCAGUGCUUCUGCUUGGUUGUUCAGGGCCAUUUCAGGUUUGGGUGUUUUCUGGGGAUGUUAACAUGGGAUUCAGGCUCAACUCACAAGAAACUUUUCCAUCUCAUGAUGGAUGCUGUUGGGCAUGUCCAAUGUAUGACUUCAUGAGUUACACAGAUGCUAAUUCGUAGGGGCACUUGGAAUCACAUGGUUGUUUUGUGUCCCAUGGUCAAGCAUUCUAUCUUAUCAGGGCCUACAGUAACAUGCCAAAAGUUGCUUCCAACAUAUUUCUCUGCUUUGGAUGGGGCAUAUUUCUGUGCUGUGGAUGACAUGGCCUUACUCCAGAAUCCCAGGCCCUCCACUGUGACUCUCCUACUGGUGCUUGGUUCAGCUCCACCCCAAAUCUUACCCCACCACUGGCACUUUCAGCACCAGGGGGUCUGAAGGAUGGUGACUGCGCCAUGGCCUGGAUCUGCUGCAGUGUCCUUUCCUGUGGAGGCUCCACUCAAAGCUGGCAUCCUCCUAUGUCACCUAGAGUGUGGGUCAAAGCAAUACACCUACAUGUAGAAUGUGAUGUCAGAACUCAAACAGGCUCACCAGGCAGUGUGCUUCCUUCCUUGCAUGAGGAUGCAAGAUGCAACAGUUUGUCUUUCACAUUGGAAGGGACACCCCUGGAUGCCCCUAACCACUAGACCUGUAAAACUUCACUGCAGUGGCCACUUCUGAAUCUCUGUAAGGUUUAUUUAUCUUCACCCUCUGGAGAGAAGAUGUUUUACCAAAGCCUCUAGUGUACCUUCCUCCUCUUACUCAUCCAUCCCAGUCAACAUGAUGUUGUCAAUGAAAUAAAGGAAUUUAAUAUUCUAUAGUAUAUCCAGGUUCUCCAGAUCUCUUAAGACUGUACUAUAGAGGCCUGGGGAAUUAUAAUAGCCCUGAGGCAAACUAUGAAUUAAAGUGUUGUGGAUCCCACAUGAA